CCACGUUUGUGUUUGUGUGUGUUUCAGCCAAAAGCCUGCUCCCAUCAUGACUCCAUAUUCUUAAUAGUGAACGACAUCUUCAGGUCCAUAGGCACAGGAAGAUGUUGGGGGUGCUGAGGAUUUGUUUGUCCACACCUUCACCCUGUGCUUUCUCAGGCAACUGGCAGCCCUCCAGCCUCAGAGAUGUCCCAGGAGGCGUAGCCAGAACACCUAGCCUGGGUCACUGCAUCUCUACAGAGACUCACUGAGGAAGAGGAAGA